rnacentral:rRNA from 1 species
UACGUAGGGGGCUAGCGUUGUCCGGAUUUAUUGGGCGUAAAGAGCGUGUAGGCGGCCAGGUAGGUCUGCUGUGAAAACUCGAGGCUCAACCUCGAGACGUCGGCGGAAACCAUCUGGCUAGAGUCCGGAAGAGGAGAGUGGAAUUCCUGGUGUAGCGGUGAAAUGCGCAGAUAUCAGGAAGAACACCGAUGGCGAAGGCAGGUCUCUGGGCUGACACUGACGCUCAUGCACGAAAGCGUGGGGAGCAAACAGG